CGCCGCCAACUGGUAGGCAUCCGAUACUCCGACCAAGCGAAGUUGCUCAGCUGGCGACAUCCUUACCACCUGCAAUUGAAAGUCAAGGGAAAUAGUUGGAUUCUUAGGAUAUUUGCAUUUGCAACGGAAAUUGCCGAAGGAAGGAGCCGGGGGGGAAACGCAGCGGAAAAGCCAUGGAAAAGCGACAGCGACCAACUGCUACUGGCUGCGUACAGGGAAAACGAUAUGGAAAUUGAAAAUCUGUAUGCAACGCCUGUCCCGAUUUCGUCCUUCACGUCCUGCCACAAUCGCCCGCAACCACACGUCCUUCCUUGCAGGUGGACAAAUCAAGAAGAGCGACUACGGAUUGCUUUCAGUGCCAUACAUAGGAAAUGCACACUUGAUAACCAAAAGCUUGAACUUCCAAAAUGCAUGUGAUGAAUUCCAAAAGCUAAUGGCUCGAUGGCUUUUAAGACCUUCAAAGUAUCCAAGUACUACAUAUUUUGUUUUGGCAAAAGCAAACACUUCUUCUAAUCCGGCU